AGCCAUGAUGUGGGUAGGCGAGCAAGAGUUCCUUGAAAUGUUCCCAACGCUGGAAGAAGGUUUCAUUAUCCUUUUGGGAGAAAUUCAUGAUAUUACAUCUUAGGGU